GUAGUAAGUGUACAGUUCAUCGCGUCGAUUUCGGCAGAAGCGACACGUCUGCUUUCAAGUUUCAGGUGUCCGUUUAUUAUGGAAGGUGGAAGUAUUGUUUGUUGAAAAGUAUAAAUACUAAUCGUAGUAUCCUACCGAUCAACCCAACAGUCUAAGAAUUAUCAAAAAUGCGGAUCGUUCAAUUGAAGAGAACCCGUUUUGUCAAUAUUUUGCUGGGUCUAAUGUUGUUUGUGAUAAUUGUAUAUGCACUUUUUGUGUUUUCAUCCGAUGACCAGCCUAGCAAUCUGAAAAACUACUGGGCUGCGGCAUCUAAAUCUCGACAGUUACCAGUGAUCAGUGAUGACUUAGGAAACUUUGAGCCACGAAAUGUAGUGGUGAGAAUAGGCCCUGGUGAGGAGGGUAAGGCUCACAUUUUGAGAGAAGAUCAACAAAAUGAUGUACAGCAAUCAGAGUCUGAUUAUGGCAUGAACAUGGUUUGUUCUGAUGAAAUUUCUUUGGAUAGAUCUGUUCACGACACCAGGCCAGCCGAGUGCAAGCGUUGGAAUUAUGCAACUGAUUUGCCAAAAACCAGCGUUAUUAUAGUAUUUCACAAUGAAGGAUGGUCCGUCUUAAUGCGUACCGUACACAGCGUGAUAAAUCGAACACCACCAGAGUUUUUGGAAGAGGUACUUUUGGUUGACGACUAUUCUGACAAAGACAAUUUGAAAGGCGAUCUGGAGUCGUACGUCGAACGAUGGGAUGGUAAAGUACGUCUCAUACGAAAUCAUGAGAGACAGGGCUUAAUAAGAACGAGAUCCAGGGGAGCCCGAGAGGCUACUGGUGAAGUGAUUGUGUUUUUAGAUGCCCAUUGCGAGGUCAACACUAAUUGGUUACCACCAUUACUUGCACCAAUAUAUGUGAACAGCAAGGUGAUGACUGUUCCGGUGAUCGAUGGAAUAGAUCACAAGACUUUCGAAUACAGGCCAGUCUAUCAGGAGGGUCAUUUGUAUCGAGGUAUCUUCGAGUGGGGAAUGUUGUACAAAGAAAACGAGUUGCCCAGGAGAGAGGCGAAAACACGCUCGCAUGAUAGCAUGCCCUAUAAGUCACCAACUCAUGCCGGGGGCCUAUUUGCUAUCAACCGUGAAUAUUUUCUAAGUCUGGGUGGUUACGACGAUGGCCUCUUGGUUUGGGGUGGUGAAAACUUCGAGCUUUCUUUCAAAAUAUGGCAAUGUGGAGGCAGCAUUGAAUGGGUGCCUUGUUCUCACGUCGGGCAUGUUUAUCGGGGCUUCAUGCCUUACACGUUUGGUAAACUGGCUCAAAAGAAGAAAGGCCCUCUGAUCACGAUUAAUUACAAACGGGUGAUUGAAACUUGGUUUGAUGAAAAGCACAAGGAGUUCUUCUAUACAAGAGAACCCUUGGCAAGAUUACUCGAUCAUGGAGAUAUCACAGAGCAGUUAGCUAUGAAAGAAAGGCUACAGUGUAAAGACUUUCAGUGGUUCAUGGAUAACGUGGCCUACGAUGUACUUGACAAAUAUCCAGAAUUGCCGCCAAAUGUUCAUUGGGGAGAGCUUCGCAGUGUUGCCACUGCCUCGUGUCUGGAUACCAUGGGUCACCCUCCACCUAACCUGAUGGGGACUUCUCACUGCCAUGGGUUUGGCAAUAAUCAGCUCAUAAGACUCAAUGCCAAAGGGCAAUUGGGUGUUGGAGAACGUUGCAUAGAAGCUGAUGGAGAGAGUGUAAAAUUAGCGUUUUGUAGGCUUGGGACUGUCGAUGGACCCUGGCAGUACGACGAGAAAACAAAAACUCUUAUGCACAGGGUGCAUAAAAAGUGUAUGGCAUUACAUCCCCAGACACAGCAUUUAUCUUUGAUGCCCUGUGACGUUAAUAAUACUUAUCAACAGUGGACCUUCCAUCAAAUGCAUCCACGCUGGUGAGUUGACUGGGACCACCAGCCUUUCAAUGAGCCUUCAGCAUCCAAUAAUCGUCCUGAAUACAUGAACAAUCGAUUAACUUCUCGCGAAGGAUACCUUCCACUAUUGCCAGAGAAGAAUGGUUCUGCCAUUGUGCUGAUGGGAAAUACUGUUUUAACAAAGAAUAGACACCAAUGAAGGACAAAGUGGGAUCACGAAGAAACGUAAUUGUUGAAUUACGACAUGUAGUACGUACGUAUUCUAUUAUUUAUUCCGUUGUAAUAAGCGUUGACGAUUAGUGGUGAUUGCGUCCAUCUGGAAUGGUCGAUUAAUUAGGCUCAAAUACUGAGAUUAUUAAGUUUUUCUUACUCUUAUUUGUAAUGUGAUUUUAUUGAUCCUAUUAUACACACGAAUUUCUAUUUCGGUAGGUUCGUAACUCCGCGAAAUUUUUCCAUUGACUGAAACUUCGAAGUCUAUUCAUAUUUCCAAAAUGGUCGUACCUGUAAAUUUUCAGCUAAAACGAAUUUUCAUUAUUUGAUUUUUUUGAAACCAUGCAAUCGUCAUUCACGAUAGAUUUCUAACUUCUUGAUUCUAGAUCAUAUACCUUUCUGUAAUACUGAUCCACUUGUGAUUCAGUUUUUAAAUAAUCCGGGCUUCCAGUUAGUAUCAGUAUGCUAUUCAAUUUGUAGAUUGCAUAAUUUUUGGUAAAGUCGUCCAUCCAUUCUGCCUCAUCUAUCAAUUCUUCCAAAGCGUCUCUCAACUUUUCCAUCAUUUCCUGCGCCCUUUUGAUUCUUUCUUCGCUAACAUAUUUUUCUCGGUAUUUUUGUGCGACGGUGAAGCUCAGUCCGAUUUUCGGAAAAUCUAAAACCUUCAGCAUUCAACAGUUGACCAGAUGUUUGAAAUUUAAAAAAAUAUAAAUUCUUUAAAAUUAGUUCGGCACUGUUGAGUACCCCAUCAGUUCAAACAAACUAAAAUUGUACUAAGAAAUGAGACGCACAAUCGAUGGUCGAAUGCAGCGAAAAUAAAACAUUGAUUUAUCACGAAAUUAGACCUUGUGGAGACAAUACUUCCAUGUUGGAUAACCUGGAGGCACGUAUCCGCGAUUUAUGUAGAAAUCCAUUGAAAUAUUGUACAUUUCUGAUGACAAUUCAGGUGCCAUAAAAGUGACCAUCCGACUAUAGACGAAAUCAUCUGGAAAUUAUUCGUAAUUUCUUUUACUCCGAUAUUAAAAUUAUACCAGGAAUAUUCCUUUAUUGUUACUCUAUUUUACUAUAGUAACUUCGAGGAAGAGAUUCGCGAUGCGACCUCGAGGCUGGUCGCAUAUUUUUAUUUCGUUGUACUUACUCAACAGCUCCUUUCCCGUUUCGUGCGCGUAUAUUAACAAGUUACGCAACAGACUUCGAUUCGUGAUAAAAAUCUGCGUGUCAUUGUUCACUUUGACCCUAGACUUUUUGAAGGCGAUCUGUAGAUACGUUCUCCAAUUAAUCUGUAUGAUUGGGGAAAAAAAACACUACGAAUAAAAAAUUUAUGACAGUUUUGACAACUUAUCAAAGCUGGAUUAUCAUUGUGUUCGAUCACGAAGAUGGAAGAAAAAUAAUCGAAAAUAAACAAAUACAGAUUCUCAUCCGCUCACCGUGUCGGUAAAUUGAUCCAGUACUUCGUCUGUCCAAGCUUGUAAUUUUGCCAACGUCGUACUUCCUACGUUAGGAAUAUUAGUCUUCGCGGUAUCUCUGCCGUAAUUUAAUUCCUAAGACAAAACCCCAGGGAUAUUUUUAUUAUUCAAUAAUUCUGAUUGCUUUAAUCGAAAAGGAUCUGAUCAAUCAGAAAGAGGUAUUUUGAAUACGGUACCUUUGGAUCCGCCAAGACGUUCAUGAAUUCGUUGAUACUUCUCGCUUUCGCGCUGAUUUCAUAAUCGCUGAUGUCACUUUCAGUAAAAUCCCGCAAUAUGAUCAUAAUUUUUGACAAAUAUUCGAUAAAGGUAGAGUCGGUUCUACUAGAAAAAUCAUUGUCCAAAAUCCGUACUGGUUGUCGCAGCAAUGCAGUAGGUAAUGUCAAAUCAUCGUGCUCGAUCUAGAUGGGUAAUAUGUUUUCACUUGUGCCGCAACAAGGGGAACUUCGGUUAUUCUGAAGUAUUUCUCUUAUACGGUACGAAAUGCUUAUUGUUGUACAAAAUGCACUUGAAACUUGAAAUUUGAUUUAAAAAAGGCGACGCAGAAUUAUGCUCUUAUACAUACAUAUAUCGAAGUUUUCGUUGCAUUCCACAUAUCAGUUCGAACUGUUAGUUUGAAAAAAAAUUGCACGCCAUAAUUAGCAACGAAUCUAGCCAUUCUUUGCCAAUCGGCCGAAGUUAUUUUAGACAUCGUACUCUCCUCAUUUUUUUUAGGCCAAAUUUCUUCCAAUACUUUUAACAUUGGUGAAAUUCCUCUCCUAUCACGAGUUUUUGUAUCUAUACAAGCUGCGUACAUGUCCUGGGCUUUUACAAAAGACUUUGAAUCUCCCACAGAUCUUUCGUUCUCCAAUAAUUCUGUGGAUAAAUAUGCAUAAAGUUUGAUUUUUUUUUAAUUCCAUAUGUCCAAAACCAUAAAUAAAUUAUUUUACGUUUAGCAUCUCCAAUUUUAAUUUGUCAUUCAAACAAAAAUGUACCUUUCAAUCGUUCAUCGACUUCUCUUUGCAAUCUGAUAAACCCGUCCCAAAUACUAUACCCCUCGGGGACAGGAUGUACAUUUUGAAAAUUUCCACAAGCAAAAGUGUAAAAAUCAUCACAGGGAUUCUUUGAAUAAUCCACGUAUGGAAAAAGAUUAUCCAUCCGUAUCAGAAAGGGCAAUUGAAUGAAAAUGGUCACGACGAUCAACCUUGAAACGCGUAAAGAAGACGAAUAAUGAUUAGUUUUUUUACAGACCAUGUUGAUAACGUUGGAAUAAUCACAGAAUCUGAUGAUGUUGCGUAGAAAGAAAUAGAAAAUCGAAUUAGGAUCUAUAAGUACCUCAUGGUGUGCAAAUUUGUGGCUGACAAUGAAUGUGUAUUAUUCGUAUUCCUGCACUGCUCUACUGAAGAGCACUAAAACAUUUUUUCCAGUGAAUCCCUUCCACAAACCCGCAAUUUGCGACCAAACAUCGUCAAUGUUAUGAAAAUACGCGGAAUGUAUCUAAAUGUGCAUUUUCUUAUCGCGCCCAAGUAUAACUGGAUUUACAAAUGAACAAUACAUAGAGCUCGAAACUGAUUUUCAUGUCACAUUCACACGACUCUAUAGAAGUGGUGGUCCAUAUCUAAUCGCUGAAAUUGUUACGUUCAAAGAACGGAAGCGACAGAGUGAUACGCGUCUACUCCCGCUGAUUCGUCUCGUACUGUUUAAAUGGAAUCGUAAUUAUGCUUCUUAAUAAUCUAACGUGUAUAAAAGUAAUAUGUAAAAAUUCUGGAGUAAUUACUACUGCCCAUUAUGAUAACAAAAUAAUUUUUCAAUUGAAUACAUUCUUUUGGUACCACAAAUAUUAGAAAUUUUUUGUUUUCUGCAUGCUACGACUUAGGUGGGAAUGAAACGGUAGAUGUAUGUAGUCCGAAAUAUUUUUAAAUUCAUUUUAUUAUAUAAUCUCAUAUGAAUACAAGAAGUGCAUAAGAGUGAAGCAUUUAACGUAGCUUUAGUUGGAAUAAGAGAAUCGACUCCAAGACGUAGAUCCUCAGUAAUAUGUCGAACGUCAACGUAUCGAUAUCGAUUAAUAAUGAAUUGUGUAAAGCGUUAUUCUCGGGAAAAGCCAAUG
rnacentral:misc_RNA from 1 species